rnacentral:pre_miRNA from 1 species
UGGAACUUGUUUUGAACAGGCUUCAACCAGACCAUGAGCCUGCUCAAACUAGUUCUCGU